UCCAGCAGCGAGUUGAAUCCUCAGGGCCAGCACCUGGUGUCUCAGGCUGCCCGCCGGCCUCCUGUCUCUGGCCCUUUGUUUGCAGGCACGGAGACAGGUCACCCACUCUUCAAAGCAUCAGGACAGACAGCAGCUGUGGGAUCUGGG